rnacentral:lncRNA from 1 species
CCAAGUUAUAUUGUCUUGUGAUAUGUCAUCCCACAGUUAAGUCAUAUCAUCACACCCAAUUUAUUAAUCAAAGUGAGCAAAUUAAUCACUACAUUCUAUCAAUAAAUUGAUGUAUAAGCAUAUGCAUGAGAGAUGCAUAUUACAUAUAUAAUAAUCAUUUCUCAUGCAUAUAAGUUCCUUGUCCCAAACACUAUCUAAUUCUAUCAACAUAGGAUCUGGAUUUGAGCCUGGCUCUGAGUGAAAAUCCAAAUCUCCUUUCCACUGAUUCAGAACAAAAAAUAAGGCAAUUGUGUGGAAUUGUGUUGCACUUUGUUUUGGAGAAUUUGGAUUCAAUUUCAAGUUCCAUAUUCACAAAUUUCUUUAAAAAGGAUUUAGCUUGGUUCAUUGAACAAAUCCUUUGCCUCAAAGCCAAUCCACUACAGUUACAUGCAACCAAUGGUGAAUGCUGGAAUAUCUCUGCCAUUUGGAAUACUUCCAGCACAAAAGCAAAAUAAAACAAGUAAGGAAGGACCUCAUCACAAGUAUGGACAGCCUAAAAAAGAGAAAUGAAUUGUUUUCUAAUAUCCGAUAGGAUAGAAAGCAAUGUAAAAUUUAAUAAGAAAAAAAAUAUUGAACUUUUGGACGGCUUCAAUAUUUUAUAUAAAAGAAUUAUAGGAAAUUCUUGGAUAGAAACUGAUGACAAAACAAUAAAGGAUAUCUGGAAGAAAGUUUGCCUUUUUUCUAUGAUUUAUUCAAAAUUCAGGUACCAGUCCAAAAGCUAAUCCUGC